CUACUCACCUGGCAGGGAGAGACCCGAUCACGAAGGUGGUUUUCCCAGGGCUAGGCUUCUACAUUGUACUCUGGAUGUGCUGACCCCUGCAAUUUCCCCAAAUGUGGGAGAAUCGACUGCAUAAUUUGUGGUAAUGGGGAACUGCACUUGCACUCUCCCCUG
rfam:Callithrix jacchus chromosome 15, whole genome shotgun sequence